AUAAAAAACCGCCGCAUCUCACGCCGCCGCUCCGGUCUGCUCUGUCGGCACCGCUUCCGGAGGGCGCUCGCCUCCUGCUCCGUGCUCCUCUCUGGGCUCAUAUACGGCUCGCCUUCACAUCGUCUUCCUCCUCCUCCUCCUUGCUUCCCUGCUUCUUUUCCCGGCCUUCUCUUGCACUCUCGCGGUCCGUCGCUGCUGUUUCGGCCAUGCGCGUGGUCUGUCGCUGCUGAUCCGGCCACGCCAGGCCAGAUGAGGUCCGUGCGAGCCCCUGAAUCAGUAAUAGCACGAGGUCUGGUAAUCGUUCCUCUUGCUCCUCAACUUCUCUUCACAGCACAUUUCUGGGCUUCCCUAUGUCAUUUUUCUCCUCCCGCCUUCAAAGCUUCCUUGCUUGGCGUUAGGAUUCUGAUCAGGUUAUUGUACCUCUACAUACAAGCUCGGACUAUGCUUUUCUCCUUCACCUAUCUUUAGCAGCAUUGGAAACUGUGUAAUUGAUCUGAUACUGCAUAUACUUGCAAUUAUCAUUUCUAAAUGAUUCAGUAUCUGUUUUUGUACCUGCAACUGCAAAUAGCUCUUCUAGAUCCCCUUUUGCGCUUUAUGGUUCAUAUACAGGAUUUCCAGGAUGGCAAGAAGGAGCAGCCUCUGGUUCGUCAGAUUUGUAAGCUCCUUUUUCUUCAGCUUCCAACAGCUGGUUCAUUAGAUUUAUAAGCUCCUUUUUCUUGAGCUUCCAACAACUAUUUCUGUUAGCUUAGCUUUCUUUUGUGUUAUUUUCACAUUUCAAGACAGACAAGACGAUGUAAACUCAGCCCAACAGUACAUGUCAGCAUCAUCUGGUCUCCAUGAAACCUGCAACUUUGCGAAGGAAAACUGUAACUUCUGCCUUACUUUGUAGUUUACAUUCAGAUGCAGCAAAUGGUCCAUGUUACUUUGUAGUUUGGUUCCAUGCCUUGCGGUUUGCUGAACUUUCUUUCCUUCAAAAUGAGGAACAAGGAGGGCCAGCGUAAUCAUGGCAUGGACACCUCUAUGCAGGUAUAUAUAGUUUUCUUCAUCUUUUUUUUUACCUUCAGCUAAAAUGGCAGCAACCAAUCAAGAUAGAUUUGAAAGGUUCAAACCAGUGUACCUUAUUUGCCCUUUAGGGUAGUUGCUGCUCUUGCCCAAAUUAGAUUUUACAUUUCCUAUCCAUCUUUCAAAAUAUGCUUAGCAAUUUUAUUUUACUGCUCUGCUAGAUCUUGCACACCAGACUCUAUGCUCAUAAGAUUUGUGAGUUAAGCAGAUUAAUUAUUUUCCAUGAUUGCAUUGCACUCAAUGGUGUGAUGAGGCUGCUACUUCCCUACACAACAGCCUUGACCUCUCGCUAACCCAAUUGUGUUACAUGAAAAAUUCUUUCUAAUUUCAGUUUCUAUUUCUUUUAAUACCUGCCUUUGGAUUUCAUCUCAGAAAAAGGUUAUUUUAAGGAUUAUCUUGGACAUUGUGAAUUUUAGAGCAUUUGCAAGUAGUUUGGUAUUUUCUGUAACAGGUAGGAUAAUUAUUAGAUCAGCAUGCCUAAUUCUUUUCCAGCUUACUUUUUUUGUUUUGUUUUCCUUCCUUUUCGAUUCUCUUACAGAUCAGGAUCAAAUUAAAGCCUUACUUGGGACCCAGGAAAUGCUGAAUUCUAAAAUUUUCUUCAUGCAUGUGUACUUUACUCUUUGGUAACUAACUCUAUUAUCAUCACCUUUAGCUUCCAUACAUGUUCACCCAAUUCUACAUCAUUGAUACAGGCUGAAUUUCUAUAUAACCCUGGAAAUAUCUGAAUAUGGUACUAGCACUCUAGGGUAAUUUCAGAUAUUGCAAUGUCACAGAAUAUAUGUAUCCCUUACAGAUCCCCAGCUUGCUUUAAUGAAAUGGAACUUGAUCAACAUGUAUGUAUGGAAGCUUUGAUGAAAUACAAAUAGAUUAGCAUGCAUGCAAGGUAAACAUUCAAUGUUGGUUCAGUUCUAAUUGUCAUUUUGACCUCAUGCUAAAUCAUCUGUUUCUGUUCUGAUAUUCUAAAAAGAGGUGCUGAAUCUAGGAUAGCUGUGACCUGCCAUCGAUUGCUGCUAAUUGUGAAUUUUAAAAUUACAUAGCCUUUGAACACGCAAUGAGAUCUCCUGUACAUAAAAAAUUAGUAGUUUUUGGUUAUUAAUGCUUUCUAUUUGCUUGCCAUGGGAUUGUACGGUACAAUUUCGUUUUACAGAUGUUCCUCAUGGUAUUCUCUAUUGUCUGCAACAAAACCUCUGCACUUCUCUGAAGUCUGAACAAAACUUUGGUACAACAAAGGCUUCGAAGUGCAGGGAUCCUUUCAACAACACUACUAAUUAUUUUACACUAGGAAAAUUAACAUAGUUGAUCUAUACAUGCAGGUAAAAGGUAUAGAGAACACCUGCUGCAGUAUGGUCUGCUCGGCCUAGCCUGCCUAUGUUGCAUUGUGUUUGCCAUCAAGGUUUGUAUCAAGCGAUGUUGCUGUCUACUCCAACCAAUCUAUACAGCACCAUAGUGUCUGUUUCCUUGCUAUGGAUGGUUUGGAAUGGCUUUUGCCAAAAAGAUUAGGUGUGAUUUAUGUGUGUAAUUAAUCCGCAAGACUGUUUCUUACUCUCUUCAAAUGCUACCUGUCUACCUGGCCAUUGCUACUUCCAUACUGAGAAAUAGACAUUUCUGAACUAAACAUUU